ACCUGGCUGGCUCGGUAGGUAGAGCACAUGACUCUUGAUCUUGGGGUUGUGAGUUCAAGCCCCACAUUGGGCU
rnacentral:tRNA from 1 species